GACGCCUCCGUGCGCGGUAUCGCAGGGCCCAGUGCACCUCCCACUCUGUCUGCGGGGGGAGGGGGGGGGCUGGGCAGCCCCUCCUCUAUCCCCCCUCAUCGCUGCCAACGCCGAACCACUUCUGGUGGUGACAGGGCCAGGCACCCACGACACGGUGUGGAGGACAGAGCGAUGAAUCGCUGCUGACGUCGGCGGCCCGGUCCUGGGUGGGGUGGCGUCGGAGCGCCCCGCGACCGUGAAGAGGUCUGUGCCACACCCACCUGAUAGGCAGAGUGCCCGCGUGACUCGAGCGUGUGUCCCACCCGGCCCCUCGCAGGGCCGACGGCUGGUGUGGGGCGCCGGAGUGCCACCCCGGGGGAGAUGCACCCGGUGGCGACCGGCAUAGUGGGGUGGGUAGAGUUUUUAGGCGCCGGGGCCGUGCUGUCCGAUGAACGGGCCGGCGCAUUGCUGUGCCGGCGUGUGUCGACGGCUGCUCUGCACCGCGCGAUGGGCCCUGUGACAGGCCAGGGGAGGAGGUGGGGAGGGGGAGAGGAGUCACGCGGAGUUGGACCUCCUGCUGUGUGGCAGAGCGAAUGGACACGGGAGGACAAGGUUUGUGUGCUGCGCGAAUAAGGUUAACAGGGCCGCUCUGCGCGAAUGCGUGUGGGAUUGCAUUACUGUGUGUCGCCUCCGCUCCUCUUUUUUUUUCUGUGGUUGGCUACUUCUCCACCGGCCUCUUCAAAACGUGCCUGCACGUGCGCAG
rnacentral:misc_RNA from 1 species